UGGGGGAUAUUGCACAAUGGGCGAAAGCCUGAUGCAGCGACGCCGCGUGGGGGAUGAAGGCCUUCGGGUUGUAAACUUCUUUUGCUCUGAACAAGGCAUGCUAAUGGGUGUGUUGAGUGUAGGGGUUGAUUAGCGCCGGCUAACUACGUGCCAGCAGCCGCGGUAAUACGUAGGGCGCGAGCGUUGUCCGGAAUUAUUGGGCGUAAAGGGCUUGUAGGUGGCUGGUUGCGUCUGUCGUGAAAGCUCAUGGCUUAACUGUGGGUUUGCGGUGGGUACGGGCUGGCUGGAGUGCAGUAGGGGAGGCUGGAAUUCCUGGUGUAGCGGUGGAAUGCGCAGAUAUCAGGAGGAAUACCGGUGGCGAAGGCGGGUCUCUGGGCUGUUACUGACACUGAGGAGCGAAAGCAUGGGGAGCGAACAGG
rnacentral:rRNA from 1 species